UGGCGGCGUGCUAAUACAUGCAAGUCGAGCGAACUUAGAAAAGCUUGCUUUUCUAAGUUAGCGGCGGACGGGUGAGUAACACGUGGGCAACCUGCCUACAAGACUGGGAUAACUUCGGGAAACCGGAGCUAAUACCGGAUAAUAUAAAGAACCUCCUGGUUCUUUAUUGAAAGAUGGUUUCGGCUAUCACUUGUAGAUGGGCCCGCGGCGCAUUAGCUAGUUGGUGAGGUAAUGGCUCACCAAGGCGACGAUGCGUAGCCGACCUGAGAGGGUGAUCGGCCACACUGGGACUGAGACACGGCCCAGACUCCUACGGGAGGCAGCAGUAGGGAAUCUUCCACAAUGGACGAAAGUCUGAUGGAGCAACGCCGCGUGAGUGAUGAAGGUUUUCGGAUCGUAAAGCUCUGUUGUUAGGGAAGAACAAGUGCGAGAGUAACUGCUCGCACCUUGACGGUACCUAACCAGAAAGCCACGGCUAACUACGUGCCAGCAGCCGCGGUAAUACGUAGGUGGCAAGCGUUGUCCGGAAUUAUUGGGCGUAAAGCGCGCGCAGGUGGUUUCUUAAGUCUGAUGUGAAAGCCCACGGCUCAACCGUGGA
rnacentral:rRNA from 1 species